CCUGGGCCGCACGCGCGCUACACUGACAGAGCCAACGAGUUCUUCACCUUGGCCGAAAGGUCUGGGUAAUCUUGUUAAACUCUGUCGUGCUGGGGAUAGAGCAUUGCAAUUAUUGCUCUUCAACGAGGAAUGCCUAGUAAGCGCGUGUCAUCAGCAUGCGUUGAUUACGUCCCUGCCCUUUGUACACACCGCCCGUCGCUACUACCGAUUGAAUGGCUCAGUGAGUCGUCCGGACUGGCCCAUAGAGGUGGGCAACUACCACUCAGGGCCGGAAAGCUCUCCAAACUCGGUCAUUUAG
rnacentral:rRNA from 1 species